UCUCUCUCUCUCUCUCUCUCUCUCUCUCUCCCUCUCUCUCUUCAGAUGUUUGAAAUCUGAAAAUUUGCCUUUCAAGUCUAUACCAUUAACUGUCUUCUGGUUCCUUCUACAGACUUAAGCUGAGACAGCAACAUUCAAAAUCUCAGCAUAUCUUGCAGAGCUAAGGUGCCAGGCAUGGUGAUACACACCUGUGUCCCACCCUUUGGAACACCUGAAACCUGCUAGCUCAGGGGUGGAGCUUCCUGCUCAUUCGUUCUGCCACGCCCACUGCUGGAACCUGCCGCUUUGCUGUUCGGAGACACACACGUGCUCACCUUUCUACUGGAUCCGAGAUUAUUCGGCGGGAAUCGGGUCCCCUCCCCCUUCCUUCAUAACUAGUGU
rnacentral:lncRNA from 1 species